rnacentral:rRNA from 1 species
UUGGAAUAAUAGUAUUAAUGAAAUUUAACGGAUUUGGCGGCAAGAUAGCCCCUUAGAGGAACCUGCCCUGUAAACGAUGAACCACGAGGGACGUAACUUUCUUUGGUAAUCAGUUUGUAUACCGCUGUUGUCAGUUAGAUUCUUGAGAAUAUUUUCGUUUAUGAUAAUUUCAUUGACUUCAAGUAAAGGUGCAGCUUAUGUGAAAGGUAGAGGUGGGUUACAUUUAUAAGAAUAAAACGGAUAAGAUAAAUGAAAGGAUCUUUGAAGGUGGAUUUAACUGUAAAACUUAAGUAGGUUUGGUGAGAGCUC